rnacentral:rRNA from 1 species
CAAUAGCGUAUAUUAAAGUUGUUGCAGUUAAAAAGCUCGUAGUUGGAUUUGUGGCGUACGGUGUGUUCCGGGCACUUGUUGUCUGAGUAACCUGCUGUUGCCAUCCUUGGGUGGAACCUGUGUGGCAUUAGGUUGUCGUGCAGGGGAUGCCCAUCAUUUACUGUGAAAAAAUUAGAGUGUUCAAAGCAGGCUUAUGCCGUUGAAUAUAUUAGCAUGGAAUAAUGAGAUAGGACUUUUUUGCUAUUUUGUUGGUUUGCGCAAAGAGGUAAUGAGUAAUAGGGACAGUUGGGGGUAUUCGUAUUCCAUUGUCAGAGGUGAAAUUCUUGGAUUUUUGGAAGACGAACUACUGCGAAAGCAUUUACCAAGGAUGUUUUCAUUAA